rnacentral:tRNA from 1 species
UAGCUCAGUCGGUAGAGCACCAGACUCUUAAUCUGGCUGUCGCGGGUUCGAGCCCCGC